AACGAACGCUGGCGGCAUGCCUAACACAUGCAAGUCGAACGAGACCUUCGGGUCUAGUGGCGCACGGGUGCGUAACGCGUGGGAACCUGCCCUUAGGUUCGGAAUAACUCCCCGAAAGGGGUGCUAAUACCGGAUAAUGUCUUCGGACCAAAGAUUUAUCGCCUUUGGAUGGGCCCGCGUUGGAUUAGCUAGUUGGUAGGGUAAAAGCCUACCAAGGCGACGAUCCAUAGCUGGUCUGAGAGGAUGAUCAGCCACACUGGGACUGAGACACGGCCCAGACUCCUACGGGAGGCAGCAGUGGGGAAUAUUAGACAAUGGGGGAAAGCCUGAUCUAGCCAUGCCGCGUGAGUGAUGAAGGCCUUAGGGUUGUAAAGCUCUUUUACCCGGGAUGAUAAUGACGGUACCGGGAGAAUAAGCCCCGGCUAACUCCGUG
rnacentral:rRNA from 1 species